GUGCCGUGUUGUGUUGAUUGAUGCUAUACAUACAGAGCACAGUGUAGAGAGCCUAGCUGGUGCUGUUGUUUUCUUGUGCAAAUGAUUGCCUGAAUAAAAUAUAGUAAUAAUGUUGGGUUUGCACUCAAGAUCGGUAGCAGGAAGGAAUGCUAGUUUAAGCAAGUGAAUUAUUGGCGGGGGCAAGGGCCAGAGGGUCAAUCAAUCCCAUUAUUUGAGACGGCUCAUCCGAGAAUUAUUGCCGGUUAGGUGCUUAAACAAAUGUAAUUAUUGGAGAUCACAGUCAUGGCUCCCCUGACCUGACCUGACUCCUGAACAUUGAUGAGAGAACAAUACAAUGACACGUAAGCAAUGCAAGGUGUCAAAGAGAAGGGAAAUCCAGUCAUCAGUGAUCUAAUGACACGUACCUACGACGCAUCUGAACAUGUAACUCUGAAAAGCAGGGUCGUUGAACUGAAGUGUAUGAGCUGGCAGGUCAUGUCGGGCAAUGGUGCAUUGCCAAGCAGGCAAGGCAAGGGCAAUACUCCUAUAUGGCGAGAAGGAACACGAGGAAUCGGAUUGGAUUCUGUUCUGCCUGCAACUGCAAUUUUUCUUCUUCGGUUCCUAACUGGAGGAGGGGACCGGCACCAUGUAAUCCUCCUCCUACACUACACCAAAUUAUUGGAGGGGCCCGGAUCGGACGCAUUGUCUCGUCUGUCGCUUUUGCCAUUGCUGACAUGGCAACAAUAAUGCAUUGUCAUGCGCCCAUGCCGAGUUGGAGGUGAGAGAGCUCUCUCUCUCUCUCUCUCUCCAUCGCUGGCCAUGGCCUCAAGUGAAGAUGAGUUGUCCAGCGCAUGUGGGUCACUGCUUCUGUCAGUCAGUGCUUCAUCAGUGUUCU
rnacentral:lncRNA from 1 species